GAUGAACGCUGGCGGCGUGCCUAAUACAUGCAAUUCGAACUCUCGAGAUCUAGCUUGCUAGCUCGAAGUAGUGGCGAACGGGUGAGUAAUCCAUAAGCAACCUACCCACGAACACUGGGAUAAUCUCUGGAAACGGGGACUAAUACCGGAUAGGUCAUCGGAAGGCAUCUUCUGGUUAUUUAAGGUUAAAAGCACUUCUGGAUAGGAUUAUGGCGCCUUAGUUAGUUGGUGAGGUAACGGCCCACCAAGACGAUGAUGCGUAGCCGGCCUGGGAGGGUGAACGGCCACAUUGGGACUGAGACACGGCCCAGACUCCUACGGGAGGCAGCAGUAGGGAAUUUUCGGCAAUGGGGGCAACCCUGACCGAGCAACGCCGCGUGAGUGAAGACGGCCUUCGGGUUGUAAAGCUCUGUUGUAAGGGAAGAACGGUAGAUAGAGAAUAUCUAAGUGACGGUACCUUACCAGAAAGCCACGGCUAACUACGUG
rnacentral:rRNA from 1 species